ensembl:lncRNA
CUAGCUCUCUCCAAUGACACUCAGCCCCAACCGUUGUGUUUCAGCCCUGGUGAGAAGCCAGGAUUCCUGCCCCCGAGGGAGCUGAGCAAGUACAGCCCCCUGAUCAAGAGUCACUCCAUGACCAACAUCCAGAAGGGCCGGGGGAAGGAGGAUGAGCAGCAUCUCCAGCAACUGCCUGCCUCCCCACGCCAGGCCUGGGAGAGGAGGAAGGUGCAGCGCACCCAGAGUGUGCCAGCCCAGAGCAAGGCAGGACGCAGGCUGCAGAAGCAGAGCAGCAUGGAGCACGUGGUUGAGUCCCAGGGAGAAGAGAGUCACGAUGAGAGCCCUCGCCCCUCUACCUUCCGCCCACGGGAUGGCCGAGCCCACCCGGGGCGAUCCAAUCUCCGCCAAUCUGCCUCGCUGCCCCGGAAGUCCACGGUUCCCUGGCAGCGCCACGCUGAGGAAGCAGCCAAGGCACAGACUGAGCUGUACGCCAUGCGGCCGCUGGAGAAGCAUGGGAAGCAAAUUGAGGAGCUGAGGAAGGAGUUGGCAGAGUCCAGGGAGAAGCAGAGGCUCUUUGAGAGCCAGCUGGAAAUGCUGGUCACCCAGAACCAGACACUGCUGGAGGAGCAGGCCAAAAGCCAGGGGCAGGAGGAGAGACUCCGGAGGCAGCUGGAGAAGCUGGAAACCCACCUGGCAAACCUCAGCACCAGGGUGGCGGCGGCAGAGGGCAGCCGGAGGAAGGACCAGGAGAAGCUGAGGGCCAGCGAGGAGAGGACGAAGCGUCUGGAGCGCCGCCUGUCGGCCCUGGAGCGGGAACACGCCGAGCUGCUCUGUGCCAUCAGUCAGCGGCCGGGAUUCCAGGACAAGCCACCCAACUCGCUGCUGAUGCCAGCGCCACAGGACGGGGCCGAGGACUGGCAGGAGGUUUAGCCAGCUUGGUGGGCCCAGACGGCCAGUCCCUGGGCCCUGCGUGGGACGCAUCCCACCCCAGCAGCUGCCACCCGCUUUGGAUACCCUGCCAGCCAGACCUUGUCUCUAGAAAUUUGUCACAGACCCAAGCCCAGCAGCUCUUUCCUGGUAUGAGUCCAGCCUGGGAGGUCCUGAGUCUGCCAGGGAUGUUGUUCCAGAUAAUGGAGUCCCAGAGAGCUGCAGGCUGCUGCUGUGAAUCCCCUGCAGCUCUCCACUCCCCAGGAGUGGUGGAGAGCGAUCAGAUUUGUGAGAGGCCCAUUCAGCCCCUCUCUCAUCCCAACUGGGGUUCCCUUCCCUAUUCCUGCAUCCAAAGGGUCCCCAGGUGCUUCCUUCUGAACUCCUCCCACACACUCCCGAUGCCUUGCUGCCCCCUUCGUCAUACCCAUGCUGCCAUCCCCAUAGUGGAACAUUGCCCCAACAUGCCCAAGCUUCCCUGGGGCUCUGGCUGCUGCAUAGCACCAGUUGCCCAGGGCCACUGCCCAGUAACUGCCAACAGGCCCAGCCCUGCGCCAGGGGCUGACUAGAAGGGAUGCGCCCGGACCAGUAUUCAGGCCUCAUUUGGCUCUUGGGGGAUUCAGGGAUGAGCUGCCACAGUGAGCUUGUCUCCGGGUUCGUGCUUGGGCCAUGACUCCCUGCAGAGCCAGAAAUGCAGUGGCUGCUUUGUCAAAAACCUUCCUUGUCUCUGAGGGUCGCCUGCAGCCAGGCAGUAAACAUAGUGCCUUUUGUGACGAGCAUGUGGGUUGGAGCCUGGAGCACUCGCCACAUGGGACCAGACAGGCCAGGGCCCAAGGAUUCAGAGGGAAGCAUGGCAGGCACCAAGCUCCGAGAGUCUCUUGCCACAGGGCCAGGUUUUAGAAAAGCCCAGCUCCUACUGAGAAACUCCCAGCCCUGCUGUUCAUGCACACACACACACACACACACACGUGCACAGGCACAUACAGGAACAACACAUGCAUGUAUG